rnacentral:rRNA from 1 species
UACGUUCCCGGACAUUGCACACACCACCCGUCAAGCCAUGGAAGCUGGGUGUACCUAAAGUCGGUAACCGCAAGGAGCCGCCUAGGGUAAAACUAGUGACUGGGGCU